GAGUCAGUGAGUAGUUUGCCCGUGUAUGAGUGAAGUCGUGGGGUGUGUGAUGUAGCUUUGUGUUCGAUAUUGACAUGUACCAGUACAUUAGAAACACCGCCAGAAGAACACCAAGUCUCGGAGCUGUCUGUCAAUGUUUAAAGUAAGAGCUUAGUAGUGGAGUGGGUGAUGCAAGUCUGUGUUCGAUAUUGACAUCUAUUGAUGCACCAGGAACACCGCCGAAUGAAGACCAGGUGCCGGUGCUCACAGCUGAUCCAGUUUCACGGAGAUCAAAGAUGGCUGGUGCUUGUGACUGGCGUAGGGAGCGAACGGCGGCGUCUCAUUGUGGUGACUUGUGACUUGUAGGUCCUCCCUCCCUCGCGGCUUACCCUCGUGGCGGCUGAAGAUAAAGGAUGGAGGGCGAUUAUCCAGAUUAUCCAGCCUCGUUAAGCAUCCCCUUUGGAGAUAACACUAAGGAGUCGCUAGGUCCUGCC